ACACCUCAACUCUCAUGGUCUGCCAUGAUGAGCUUGGACUUUGGGGGUCUUGCCGGCCUAGCGUCGGCUCCUCUCAAAUGGAUCAGCUUGCCAGUGUUUGGUGGCAUCACGGGUGUGAUAAUUAUCUACGCUUGUGGUUUUCCACCAUGUAACCUUCAGCAAUGGAGGUUCGCUGGAGCUCACAGAUGUCCCUCCUUGGUGAGGACAGCUUUGAAC
rnacentral:misc_RNA from 1 species